rnacentral:misc_RNA from 1 species
UUUCCGUAGGUGAACCUGCGGAAGGAUCAUUAACAAAUCGUGUCGCGUGGUGCCUCUCAGCGAGGGGCCCAGGCCGACAUUAAUCCCGGGGCAACCCGGUAGAUACAUGUACGAGAAGUGAGAACGUGGGCAAAGCAUACAAACUUUUAACAAUGGAUCUCUUGGCUCUU